CUGCGACGCAAGGCGAGGCCCCUCCCCGACGGUGGAGCGAGGGCAUCGACAAGGCGUGGGUGUCCGCCCGCCAGGAACUCAAGCAGCCCCCCACGCCUGGCCGAGAGCGCGAGUGGGCGGUGGCCGAGACCUGCCAGUUACUUGACCCCAACACCCUCCCUGGCUUCAGCCAGCGCGCGCUGCGCCUCCCCCCGCCAGCAGGCGGCGCGGCGGCGAAGCCCCAGUGGGCCUGCGCGGAGCAGCCGGCGCUUCGACGUCUGCCACGGGGCGCUGCGCACAGGCGCCCUCCGGGUCAUCGUCACGCCGCGCGGCCUCUGCGUAGGCGUGGUGAUGGCGCCGCCCCGGCUGGCGGAGCCCGUCGGCCUCGUGGAGGCCUCACGUCAUAAUCGGGGAGGGCGGGGGGGGGGGGGUUUCUGCAUCUACUGCACCCUGAACGGGGAGCGGAGUCCCAGGUGGCGGGCGCCCCGGUGUUGGUCGUGGACGCCCAUCGAGCCCGCUGGCUUCACCGCUGACCUGAGGUCCCACGCGGCGGCCAGGCCUUCCCCUGCUGAUUGCAAGGGCAAGACGAACGCCCUCAGCAGUGCGGGGAAGGAAGGGAUGCGACGCCCAACACUUUAUAAACUUCAAGGCAGGAAAUCUUGUGCCGUGUCACGUUGA
rnacentral:lncRNA from 1 species